GAUGAACGCUGGCGGCGUGCCUAAUACAUGCAAGUCGAGCGAACAGACGAGGAGCUUGCUCCUCUGACGUUAGCGGCGGACGGGUGAGUAACACGUGGAUAACCCACCUAUAAGACUGGGAUAUCUUCGGGAAACCGGAGCUAAUACCGGAUAAUAUAUUGAACCGCAUGGUUCAAUAGUGAAAGACGGUUUUGCUGUCACUACUCGAUGGAUCCGCGCCGCAUUAGCUAGUUGGUAAGGUAACGGCUUACCAAGGCAACGAUGCGUAGCCGACCUGUGAGAGGGAUCGCCCACACUGGAACUGGGACACGGUCCAGACUCCUACGGGAGGCAGCAGUAGGGAAUCUUCCGCAAUGGGCGAAAGCUUGACGGAGCAACGCCGCGUGAGUGAUGAAGGUCUUCGGAUCGUAAAACUCUGUUAUUAGGGAAGAACAAAUGUGUAAGUAACUAUGCACGUCUUGACGGUACCUAAUCAGAAAGCCACGGCUAACUACGUG
rnacentral:rRNA from 1 species